UGGCUCACGGCUGUGUUGUAUACUGUAUAUAUACUGCGUGUGUGUGUUGCACCGCCAACCAACGCCGCGACGCCGUUUCUCGUGUUUUAUAAAACGUAUACAUAUACAUACGUGUACGAGCCUCGCUUGCAUUUAUACGCGCGACAUUUAUACUCGUGACAUUUAGUCGCGCGCAAAAGUACAUGCUCUAGUGUGCAAUUAUUUCGUUUUUCUCCUUUUUUUCUUUUGGGUUUCUCUCAAAAGAGUGUGAUACGAAUUACACAACGUCUCUGUAGGUCUGCAGUGAUUUUGUGCCAGCGCGGGCUUUCUUUGUUGUGACAGUGUGUUUUUUUGCGCGCCGAGAGCAUAUUUUAGCAGUGGUUUUUCUAGUUUAGGGGGAAAUAACAAAAAAGCGACAACGAACCACCACCGACACACAAAAAAAAGGGCCAGCGAAGCAAGACACACAGAUGUUAAUUCAUGCUCCGGUUGAGAGACAAGAGUCCGCUGUUAUAUGCACCUCAUCAUCCUCUGUGAGCCGUCGUGUGCAGCAGCAUCAACGUCGCGACGAAAAUCUCGAGCGUCUAUUUUGCCGCUCGGCCCAAGAGUAACAGAAGAAGACGAAGAGAAGAAGAAGAAGAAGUAGAGGAAAGAGUAGGAGGAGGAAGCACAAGAAGAAGAAAGAAAAAGAGAGGAAGAAGAAGAACACUUUGUGCGCAAAGACACGAGAGUUUUUUUCUCUCUCACUCUCUACGCACGCCAUAUUAUAUAGCGCGCAACUCGACUCAAGAAGAGAGCGACUGCUGGCACCGCGAGACGCGCCUCGUGUAUAUACCCAACAUUUUGCCUCGUAAAAGGUAAAUUAAGAGACACGAGAGCAGCAGCUCGCGUAACGCGUUAACCGUUGUAAAUCGUUGUUACACUUUGCAUCGUCGUGCGCUGCGAUCACGCGCAGCAGUAUACAGUAGCAGUUUAUUUUUUUGCCGCUCUCCGCGCGAACGUUAUUUACUCGCGUUUUCAUGGAAAUAAAUUGCUCCGGAGUUCGAUCGAAUAAUAUACAAGUCGGUAUCGUCAGCGUCGUCGCAAGUAACGCCGCGUUGUAACGGCAUCUCUCAUCCGUGCCGAAUAAAUAAAUUUGCGGCAACGAAGUCACAGAGAGCAGCGACAAACAUCACCGCGUAAGCAGCGUCGCUUCAACGAUGCCGAGAAGAAGGUGCACGGGCUGAUCGGCUGCGGGCGGGGCGGCGAGAAAUGGCGAUCAUCGAAAAUUCGCCUCUGGCAGAAGAAGAAAAAGAACGACGACGACAACGACGAAGAUGCAGAAGCACACGCAAGCGGGCCAGCUGCAGCGCAACAACUCGCAGGCCGGCGGCCAUCACAGGGCGCCGGUGCGACGCUGGAACAGCUUUCACGGCGGCAACUACGCGAGCAGCGCGGAGGGCCAGCAGCAGCAGCUCGCCAUGCUGCAGCACAGAUACAGCAACGCCGGUGGCUAUCAGUCGUCCCAGCUGCAGCGGGACGGCCAGCAGCAGCUGCCUCAGGCGGUCUAUCCGGCCACGUUCAUGUAUCAGGAGGCCUACAUGGGCUCGAGGGCGAUACCGAGGCUGCCGCGAGCCGUGCAGGCGCUGAGGAGCGAGAGCGUCGACAGGUCGCAUCCGCCGAGGGUGCAGCCGCCGCCGCCUCCGGCCUUUCCGAGGAGGCGAUUUUCCGUUUGUUUUGGAAAGCGGACCGGCGGCAGCGCAAGGAGGCCAAACGAAUGCUUCGUCCUCGAACCAUCCGAGUUGAUUGCUAUCGACUAUCCGGAAGUACACAGCGGCAGAAUGCAUCGACCUCCGCAGGCUCAUCCUAUCAGCGACCAUCGACAAGUCAACUUGGUCUUCGAGGAUACGUUUUCACAAGGUCUCACUGGAAGGCCUGAGCUUUAUCAGAAGUCUAAUAGAAGUAGUCAUUCUAGCGAUACAAGCUCAGCUUACAGUGGCUCAGAUACCAUGACUUCUGUACAAAGUUCAUUGGAUCAAGAUCCAGAUGAAGUGGAUCUCUCAGGACUAGUGGAGUCCAUAGUGGAUAGCGAUGAAGAGGAAGACCUUGCAGAAAGCAUGGAUAGUCUCACUGUUAGAGACACAGUCAGGGAAUGUUUAGAAAAAGAUCCUGUAGAUAGAAAUGAAGACGAUAUUGAAGUUCUCUUAGAAUUCACACAACAUCUGAAAGCGUUCACCAACAUGACCCUGGCAGUGAGACGAGCUCUAUGCGCAGUCAUGGUAUUUGCUGUUGUAGAACGAUCUGGAAUGAUAGUUUUAACAGAUGGAGAAGAAUUGGACAGUUGGAGUGUUCUCAUCAAUGGUACUGUAGAAGUUGAAUUCAGUAAUGGAGAUGUUGAAACAAUGUCAGUAGGUGACAGUUUUGGAAUUCUCCCAACCAUGGAUAGACUGCUCCACAGAGGAGUUAUGAGGACAAAAUGCGAUGACUGCCAAUUCGUGUGCGUAACACAAGCAGAUUAUUAUCGAAUACAGCAUCAAGGCGAAGAAAACACAAGGCGGCAUGAGGAAAAUGGCCAUGUGAUUCUUGUGACAGAACUGCGAGGCUCCUUGGAAGGAACACCAGGUGCUCGCCGCGGACACGUUGUUAUCAGAGGCACGGCAGAGCGUUUGAUGCUUCAACUCGUCGAAGAAAACAGUAUUAACGACCCAACGUACGUUGAGGACUUUUUGCUCACACACAGGACGUUCGUAGAAAAUCCGUUGUUCGUUGCACAGCAGCUGCUCGAGUGGUUCGAACAAUCGCACGUUAGAGACAAAGUCGCGCGAGUUGUCUUGCUAUGGGUCAACAACCACUUCACGGACUUCGAAACCGAUCCCGCGAUGAUGGAAUUCUUAGACGCAUUCGAAGCUUGCUUAGAAAAAGAAAAGAUGCAUGGACAGCAAAGGUUAUUACUCAUAGCUUGUGCUGCUAAAGCAAGAACGCGAAACAUCGUGUUAACACGGCCGAGCAGAGACGAGGUGCUACAUUUUAAUAUUCUGGGAGGUUACGAAAGAGGUUUCGGCAUUUUCAUCUCUCAAGUAGAGAAAAAAUCCAAAGCCGAAGAUGUCGGCUUGAAACGAGGUGAUCAAAUGCUCGAAGUUAACGGACAGAGUUUCGAACAUGUUAAUCACGCUAAAGCCUUGGAAAUCCUUCGAGGAUCAACACAUCUAAGCAUCACUGUAAAAUCAAAUCUCUUAGCGUUUAAGGAGAUGUUGCAACAACCGGAUAACUCGACGCGACCGCGCAAUCGGCCCCAAAACAAACCGGAGUAUCUUCCAAGGAUAUCCACUGAUUCAGGAAUAAGACUAUCAUCAUGCGGUGAACCCGCGACCCCAACUAAUAACUCAGUCAAUCCAAUCAACCCAAUCAACCCAGUCAACCCAGCAAUUAGUGGAACUAUACUCAAUCCCUCUGAUAGUAACAAUACGUCGCCUUGUAAAGAUGUGAAAAAAGAGCAUAAAGGUUUCAUGACUCUUGGGCCAAGAAAAAGGUUUCAGAGGGCUCUUAUGAAAAUGAAUAUUUUGCCAAAAAAUAUGAUCAAGUUUCAUUUGGCUUUCAGUGACGGAAUGCACGCAGAUGAUCCGCUUGGUCCUCCACGUUCGCCACCGGGUACUGGACUCGCCAAUCAAACUUCAAAUCUCUAUCACUCGCGUUCGAAUCCAGAUUUAACCUCACUCUAUAGCACGUACGAUGAAGUACGUGCACCAGAUUAUCCAGAACACGUUCUAAAAGUGUACAAAGCAGACCAAACUUGCAAAUACUUACUCGUGCACAAAGAAACGACCGCUCACGAAGUUGUCAUGUUGGCUCUACGAGAAUUCGGUAUUACGGAAAGCAGUUCCAAUUUUUCAUUAGCCGAAGUCAGCGUUGGUGAAGGUGGAAUGAUCAAACAAAAACGACUGCCAGACCAGUUGCAAAACCUCGCAGAAAGAAUCGGUUUGAGCUCCAGAUAUUACCUGAAAACUAAUGGUAUAUCGGAAACGCUUGUAGCCGAUGAGCAGGCACCUGAAUUGGUGCGAGAAUCGCAGGUGCACUUCCUGCAGCUAAAUGCUGGCGAAGUUGCUAUUCAAUUAACUUUACAAGACUACAGUAUUUUCCGACAAAUUGAGUCAACAGAAUACGUUGACGAUCUUUUCGAAUUGAAGAGUAAAUAUGGUACACCAAUGUUGAGACAAUUUGCCGAGCUCGUUAAUCGAGAAAUGUUUUGGGUUGUAACCGAAGUGUGUUCGGAACAUAAUGUCGUCCGACGAAGCAAAAUUAUCAAACAGUUCAUCAAGAUAGCUCGCCAAUGCAAGGAGUGUAAAAACUUCAACUCAAUGUUUGCAAUUAUCUCAGGUUUGGGUCACGGGGCGGUAUCGAGGCUUAGAUCUUCCUGGGAAAAGCUGCCAAGCAAGUAUCAAAGACUCUUCAGCGACUUGCAAGAGCUUAUGGAUCCGAGUCGCAAUAUGAGCAAAUAUAGACAAUUGGUUGCCAGCGAACAAACUCAACCAGCUCCAAUCAUUCCAUUUUAUCCAGUAGUUAAAAAAGAUCUUACCUUUAUUCAUCUUGGAAAUGAUUCCGAAGUAGAAGGAUUAGUGAAUUUCGAGAAGCUUCGGAUGAUUGCCAAAGAAGUUCGUAACUUAACGAACAUGUGUUCAUCGGCCUAUGACUUGAUGACCAUGCUAGAACGUGGAGGGCAACCACCAAGUUCUGCAAUGGUAGCGUUGAAUCAAAUGACAACUGGUACCCAAACUCUUACGACGCAACAAACCGCAACAGUGAAAAGACGUAAAAAGUCAGCGGCAGCACCAAAUCCAAAGAAAAUGUUCGAAGAAGCACAAAUGGUUCGUCGAGUCAAAGCAUAUCUGGGUGAUAUGAAAGUCAUUACGGACGAGGAAAAACUCCACCAGUUAUCGGUUGAGUGUGAACCACACGUUGGACAAGUCGGAGGAAUGGCUUCUUCGGUCCCACUCAGUAGCUCGCGGGGCAGAAGACAUCCAUCUCCAACCUUGUCAACGACGAGCAGUGCUAGUAGUACAAGUGAGGGCAGAAAGAGCAUACAAGGUACGAAGUUUGGAGCAGCGUCGCCACAAGCAGUACGUAAAAUGUUAGCCUUAUCAGAUCCACACAAGACACGACCGUAUCAACCGAAGCACUAUGCACCACCACCGCUACCGGUACCUGGUUUGGGUAUUCACUCGGGCAUUGAGUCCUCGCCAGCCGCGCCGAGACGAGUCGGUUCGGCAGGCAGUAGGGCGCCUAUGCACGAGCGUUCGCACAGCGACACACCGUCGAGUCUUCCACCACCCGUUGACCUCAGCGCCGAGAGCAGUAGCGUAACAAGCCUGAGCAAUUUGCAACCUCUCAGAAAGACUCUGACCAGUGGUUCGGUGACCAGUAGUGACAGUGGUCACAGCACUCAGUUGGACAGUCACAGCGGGAGCAGCGUCGAGGCAGGCGGUAGUCCGCCUCCACCGCAGCGCAGACACUCAGCCAUGCAAGCAGGUAUGCAAGUACUGCCGCCGUUCCCGCACGCGGUCGCGGUGUUACCUCCGUUACCCAUGACGCAAGCACGACGCAACCGAUUAGACUCAGGGGCCUCGGACGACGAUCAGUAUCAUCACAACAACCACCACCACCACCACCAUUACCAUCAACAACAUCAAUAUCAUCAUCACGCUCAUCAACAUCAACACCAGCUACUGCAGCAACAGUUACAACAGCAGCUACAGCAGCAAGUACUGCGCCGGAAGCAACAGGUGGCUACGACGCCGCCACCGCCGCCCCGCGACAGACAUCAUUCAUUGUGUACGUUCGACGAAACAGGAAUCGAAGGACCUUUUCUAGGUGGAGCAAACGUAGUAUCGCCAGCUACGAGCAGUAUGCCACCACCGCCUCUGCCACCACCGUUAGGUCCGAGGAAUAAUUUAAGGACAGGAAUCGCAAUACCGCCAGAUUACAAGCUCGCUGCACAAAUGGCCAGACUCCAUCGUUUGGGAAGGGCCCAUAGCCACGAAGGAGUGACCUACAACAACGAGCACGAAGACGGUAUAUAAACACAAUUCGCACUCUCACAACAACAUCAUCAAUGAGAAAAAAGGGAGAGAGGGAGAGAGUGAAAGAGAAAUAGAGAGGGAGAAAUAUAGAUAGAGAGUGAGAUAGAGAGGGAAAAUGUUCAACUCGUGUGUUCGAGCGAUCGCCACCAUCAUCCACCAAUCAUCAUCCAAAUAGUCACUACUACGCCUAUUAUUCAUCGACUGCAACCUUACUGUCUAUUAUAAUGACUGUUACUCCGUUGACUAGAUAACGAAACGACUCUCAGACAUCGAGUUCCAAAGACGACGACGAUGCCCAAGUCUCAGCUGUAUAGGAGCAGCUUCCGGGCCGAGUCCCGGAACGAUCGGCGUCUAUCGCCUGUAGCGGUGAGCUCAAACCUCGUCUCCACUCGUCGUUCGUAGUUCGAGGACCUCGUGGCGUAAGACCCGUUCAGCCUCGGCGAAGCCAUCAAGGACCUCUACUCUGAAUUGUUAAACUGCACCGUUUCGCAACUAUAAAUAUAUGCAACACAAUUCCUGUACAGCCGUGUGUAGUGUCCGUUUCUUUUGAUGUACGUGCGUGUUUGCGUAUCCGCGUGAAUGAAAUUCUUGCAAUAAUGUUUGAGUUUGUGUGGAAAGAACCGUAAUUUGUGUGUAUCUGUAUUCGUGCUUUAUGAAUGCGUAUUUGUUUAUUGCGUAACGAAUGCCAAAUGCGAAAUAUCAUAUUGUAUACAAAAACAUUCAAUGGAACUUUAUUGUUGUGAGUAAUGGACAAGUAACUUGCAUGUUUUAAUGUGACUAUAAAAUGAUGUAUGAACAAUUUAGCAACGUGUACACCGUUGUUAUUAUAAUAUGCAUUCGGAAAAUGUGUAAUAAAUCAAGUCCAAAGAUGAUAAUUCAUAUCGAUAGAUUCUCCGCAGAUCAAGAAGGCAGCGUAAUGUACGAUAUAAUUUUAGUGGCUAGCCCUUCCGAAUCCCUACGACAUAUUUACGUAGUCCCAUAUAUAUUUUUUAUGUACAUAAAUGUGUAUUUUAGUCGUAAAAUAGUUAAAUUAUGACGAUCAAUUAUAAUUGUUCAAAGAAACAGCAACCGUUACUAAAAUAGUAGACCCGAGAGAUUAUUAAUUAUUAUUUUUACGAAAACUGAGAAACGCGUUAUUUCACCUCACCCCCUUAAAGUUCAAACCAUACCGUCAAAACAAUCUAUUAUAUAUUAUAUAAACAGAUCUAUAUAAACCAUCCCUGAUAAAAUUAUAUGAGCACAUACACCCACAUAUAUAUUAUAUAAAUAAUAUAAAAAACAUUCAUUUACAAUAUUCUUCAUUGUACAUAUUUCAAAUGCGUUUUAGAAUCUGUAAUAUUAUGUGUAUAACCGUAAUCAAGUCAGCGGUCUUGGAAUAUAUAUUUAUCUUUACUCGAUGAACAAGAAAAUAACCAAGAAAUCAUUGUUUUCAAAGAAAAUACUUUACUUAUUUAAUUAAUUAUGCUUCAAUUUUUAAUAAAUUUGAGAAAACUAGACAUUUUUAAGGUUCAAAUUGUUCACUAUAACUAUUUCUUUUUAAACAUCAAAAGUCUAUUUAGGCUUUCAUAAAACAUUCAGAUUUGCAUUUAAAUUCAUCUGCAGCAAUGAUGAUUCAGAUAAAAUAUUGCAUGUAUUAAUAAACUCGUUCACAGUAAAAGUGCUCAUUUGUUUGUAAAUAUUUCAUAAGUAAAAAAAAAAAGAAGAAAUUCGUGUAAUGUAUAAGUUUAUCUGGUAUUUCAUUGUCAUUCCAGUCGCAUUUCUAUUAAUUUUAUACACUCUAAUUUAGAGCUUUUUGCAUGACAAGCGUUGAUCUAAAUUUCAAUAAUGUAAUUAAUGUUCAAGGACGUUUAUUCCAUCAUCGAGACCAACUUUUUAAAAAUUAUCCUUGCGAGACAAGCGCACAAAGUUAUCGCAAGUAUUUACUGCUGACGUAUUUUAUUCUCCAGAUGAGAACAAUGUAAUAAAAAUGUAACAUUAAUAUCAUUUCUUUGGAAAAAUAUUGAUGAUAAUGUAUGAAAAUAGAUCCAAUCAUGAAUUUUUGUUCAUACAAUUUUCUUGAUGAAUUUAUUUUUUGCUCGUAGACCGAGUAAAACUGCAAGGAAUGAAUCAUGGAAUAUUAGUAUCAACAAACGAUCAAAAAAUUAGAGAUCUUAUUGAAGUUAAGAAACUAAGUUUCUUUUAUUCGUUAAUUAUGUAAUGAAAAAAGCUUGAGUCAGUGUAAAACAAAAGUCAUGUAUUUUCUUAUGUUUAAUUGUUGCGUUCACAACUUUUAAUAAUAUUAAUUAGUUCGGAUAUACUCACUUUUUCGUAAUUUUCAAGAUUUUACUCUAUUCAUGGUAAGCUUAAAAAUAUUAGCUUGAUAUUUGUUGUAUGCAUCUUGAAAAACGAAAAUAGAAAGGCAAAGAAUUUUUGUAUUUAAUUUUUCUAAUAAAAUUCGAAUGCCAGUACAAAAUAAACCCCUCUUUUGUUCAUUUUAUUAUUUUGAUUCCCUUUUUUCAUUUCAAUAAUACGUAAGAAAAGAAAGUGUGAAAGCUUAACGAAUGUUUAAAGUACAAAAUGCGAAAAAACUAAGAUACUAAUGAUAAUGAUGACGUUCAAUCAUAUUUAGAAUGACUGAGAAUGUUGUAUAUCUACAGUUAGGAUACAUAAUAUCAAUCUCUCGAAUUGUGGCAAUGUAAUAGCUGAGUAAGCAACGAAAACUAUAUAUUGAUAUAUAUUUCUAAAGAAUAAAUGCUUACUGAUAUUAUUGCUCAUCGUAAGAAAAUUUUCCUAAACGAAUUGUAUGUAAUUUCCAGCACACAAUGUAAAUGUUUUCAUGGAAAAAAUACAAAUACAUCUGAUAAA